rnacentral:tRNA from 1 species
UCGGAUAUGGUGUAAUGGCUAACAUUGCUGCCUUUCAUGGAAGGAAUUCACUGUAACUGCCGCGGCAGCUCGGGGUUCGAUUCCCUGUAUCCGAA